rnacentral:rRNA from 1 species
GGGUUGUGAGGUUAAGCGACUAAGCGUACACGGUGGAUGCCCUGGCAGUCAGAGGCGAUGAAGGACGUGCUAAUCUGCGAUAAGCGUCGGUAAGGUGAUAUGAACCGUUAUAACCGGCGAUUUCCGAAUGGGGAAACCCAGUGUGUUUCGACACACUAUCAUUAACUGAAUCCAUAGGUUAAUGAGGCGAACCGGGGGAACUGAAACAUCUAAGUACCCCGAGGAAAAGAAAUCAACCGAGAUUCCCCCAGUAGCGGCGAGCGAACGGGGAGCAGCCCAGAGCCUGAAUCAGUAUGUGUGUUAGUGGAAGCGUCUGGAAAGGCGCGCGAUACAGGGUGACAGCCCCGUACACAAAAAUGCACAUGCUGUGAGCUCGAUGAGUAGGGCGGGACACGUGGUAUCCUGUCUGAAUAUGGGGGGACCAUCCUCCAAGGCUAAAUACUCCUGACUGACCGAUAGUGAACCAGUACCGUGAGGGAAAGGCGAAAAGAACCCCGGCGAGGGGAGUGAAAAAGAACCUGAAACCGUGUACGUACAAGCAGUGGGAGCACGCUUAGGCGUGUGACUGCGUACCUUUUGUAUAAUGGGUCAGCGACUUAUAUUCUGUAGCAAGGUUAACCGAAUAGGGGAGCCGAAGGGAAACCGAGUCUUAACUGGGCGUUAAGUUGCAGGGUAUAGACCCGAAACCCGGUGAUCUAGCCAUGGGCAGGUUGAAGGUUGGGUAACACUAACUGGAGGACCGAACCGACUAAUGUUGAAAAAUUAGCGGAUGACUUGUGGCUGGGGGUGAAAGGCCAAUCAAACCGGGAGAUAGCUGGUUCUCCCCGAAAGCUAUUUAGGUAGCGCCUCGUGAAUUCAUCUCCGGGGGUAGAGCACUGUUUCGGCAAGGGGGUCAUCCCGACUUACCAACCCGAUGCAAACUGCGAAUACCGGAGAAUGUUAUCACGGGAGACACACGGCGGGUGCUAACGUCCGUCGUGAAGAGGGAAACAACCCAGACCGCCAGCUAAGGUCCCAAAGUCAUGGUUAAGUGGGAAACGAUGUGGGAAGGCCCAGACAGCCAGGAUGUUGGCUUAGAAGCAGCCAUCAUUUAAAGAAAGCGUAAUAGCUCACUGGUCGAGUCGGCCUGCGCGGAAGAUGUAACGGGGCUAAACCAUGCACCGAAGCUGCGGCAGCGACGCUUAUGCGUUGUUGGGUAGGGGAGCGUUCUGUAAGCCUGUGAAGGUGUGCUGUGAGGCAUGCUGGAGGUAUCAGAAGUGCGAAUGCUGACAUAAGUAACGAUAAAGCGGGUGAAAAGCCCGCUCGCCGGAAGACCAAGGGUUCCUGUCCAACGUUAAUCGGGGCAGGGUGAGUCGACCCCUAAGGCGAGGCCGAAAGGCGUAGUCGAUGGGAAACAGGUUAAUAUUCCUGUACUUGGUGUUACUGCGAAGGGGGGACGGAGAAGGCUAUGUUGGCCGGGCGACGGUUGUCCCGGUUUAAGCGUGUAGGCUGGUUUUCCAGGCAAA